rnacentral:rRNA from 1 species
GCAGUAAGGAAUAUUGGGCAAUGGGCGGGAGCCUGACCCAGCCAUGCCGCGUGCAGGAAGACGGCCCUAUGGGUUGUAAACUGCUUUUAUACGGGAAUAAAAUUGGGUAUGUAUACCUAAUUGCAAGUACUGUAUGAAUAAGCAUCGGCUAACUCCGUGCCAGCAGCCGCGGUAAUACGGAGGAUGCGAGCGUUAUCCGGAUUUAUUGGGUUUAAAGGGUGCGCAGGCUGAUAUAUAAGUCAGUGGUGAAAUUCCCCGGCUCAACCGGGGGACUGCCGUUGAUACUGUAUAUCUUGAGUGUAGUGGGCGUUGGCGGAAUGUGUCAUGUAGCGGUGAAAUGCAUAGAGAUGACACAGAACACCGAUAGCGAAGGCAGCUGACGAUACUUACACUGACGCUCAUGCACGAGAGCGUGGGGAUCAAACAGGAUUAGAUACCCUAGUAGUCC